ensembl:snRNA U2 U2 spliceosomal RNA
AUUGCUUUUUGGCCUUUUGGACUAAGAUCAAGUGUGGUAUCUGUUCUCACCAGUUUAAUAUCUGAUAUGUCCUCUAUCUGAGGACAGUAUAUUAAAUUUCUAAAUAGGUUGCAAAUAUGUACUGUUUCAAUCCAUCUAUC